rfam:Flavobacterium sp. AED Contig01, whole genome shotgun sequence.
UCCUAGCCCUGAUAGAAACGGCAUCCUUUCUUGCCGGUGUUCGGCAGGAAAGAUAUAGUGAACAGCAGGAAAUAGC